GAGGUUGUGGCUCAGUGGUAGAGCACUAGCCUAGCACGCAAGGCACUGGGUUCAAUCCUCAGCACCUCA
rnacentral:tRNA from 1 species